GGGUCGUUAGCUCAGUUGGUAGAGCAGUUGACUUUUAAUCAAUUGGUCGCAGGUUCGAAUCCUGCACCGACCCACCA
rnacentral:tRNA from 1 species